AAUAGCGUGCUUGACAAAAAGGUCGUCUUGAUAGGGCGGAUAAUGAGAGCAGUCUCUCCGCUAUUA
rnacentral:tRNA from 1 species